rnacentral:rRNA from 1 species
GAUGAACGCUGGCGGCGUGCCUAAUACAUGCGAGUCGAGCGAACAGACGAGGAGCUUGCUCCUCUGACGUUAGCGGCGGACGGGUGAGUAACACGUGGAUAACCUACCUAUAAGACUGGGAUAACUUCGGGAAACCGGAGCUAAUACCGGAUAAUAUAUUGAACCGCAUGGUUCAAUAGUGAAAGACGGUUUUGCUGUCACUUAUAGAUGGAUCCGCGCCGCAUUAGCUAGUUGGUAAGGUAACGGCUUACCAAGGCAACGAUGCGUAGCCGACCUGAGAGGGUGAUCGGCCACACUGGAACUGAGACACGGUACAGACUCCUACGGGAGGCAGCAGUAGGGAAUCUUCCGCAAUGGGCGAAAGCCUGACGGAGCAACGCCGCGUGAGUGAUGAAGGUCUUCGGAUCGUAAAACUCUGUUAUUAGGGAAGAACAAAUGUGUAAGUAACUAUGCACGUCUUGACGGUACCUAAUCAGAAAGCCACGGCUAACUACGUG